rnacentral:rRNA from 1 species
UGGGGAAUAUUGGACAAUGGGCGAAAGCCUGAUCCAGCCCUGCCGCGUGUGUGAAGAAGGUCUUCGGAUUGUAAAGCACUUUAAGUUGGGAGGAAGGGCAGUAAGCGAAUACCUUGCUGUUUUGACGUUACCGACAGAAUAAGCACCGGCUAACUCUGUGCCAGCAGCCGCGGUAAUACAGAGGGUGCAAGCGUUAAUCGGAAUUACUGGGCGUAAAGCGCGCGUAGGUGGUUCGUUAAGUUGAAUGUGAAAGCCCCGGGCUCAACCUGGGAACUGCAUCCAAAACUGGCGAGCUAGAGUAGGGCAGAGGGUGGUGGAAUUUCCUGUGUAGCGGUGAAAUGCGUAGUUAUAGGAAGGAACACCAGUGGCGAAGGCGACCACCUGGGCUCAUACUGACACUGAGGUGCGAAAGCGUGGGGAGCAAACAGG